rnacentral:rRNA from 1 species
GACGAACGCUGACAGCAUGCUUAACACAUGCAAGUCGACUGUGGUGGACGGGGGAGUAACGCGUAAAGAACUUGCCUCAAGGAUAGGGAUAACAUGCGGUAACGAAUGCUAAUACCUGAGACUGUGGGAGAGCUUUGCGUCCCAUUAGCUAGUUGGAGAGGUAACGGCUCACGAAGGCGAGGAUGGGUGGCCGGCCUGAGAGGGUGAUCGGCCACAAGGGGACGUGGUCCCGGCCCUUACUCCAACGGGAGGCAGCGGUGGGGAUUCUUGAGCAAUGGACCAAAGUCUGAUCCAGCAAUUCUGUGUGCACGGUGGAGUUUUCGUAAUGUAAAGUGCUUUCAGUUGUGAAGCGGUACCAGCAGAAGAAGCGACGGCUAACUACGUGCCAGCAGCCGCGGUAAUAC